rnacentral:rRNA from 1 species
UCCAGCCAUGCCGCGUGCAGGAAGACUGCCUUAUGGGUUGUAAACUGCUUUUAUACAGGAAGAAUUGUCCGUACGUGUACGGUGAUGACGGUACUAUAAGAAUAAGGACCGGCUAACUCCGUGCCAGCAGCCGCGGUAAUACGGAGGGUCCGAGCGUUAUCCGGAAUUAUUGGGUUUAAAGGGUCCGUAGGCGGGCCGAUUAA